rnacentral:rRNA from 1 species
UACCAGCACCCCGAGUGGUCGGGACGAUUAUUGGGCCUAAAGCAUCCGUAGCCGGUUCUACAAGUCUUCCGUUAAAUCCACCUGCUCAACAGUUGGGCUGCGGAGGAUACUAUAGAGCUAGGAGGCGGGAGAGGCAAGCGGUACUUAGUGGGUAGGGGUAAAAUCCGUUGAUCCAUUGAAGACCACCAGUGGCGAAGGCGGCUUGCCAGAACGCACUCGACGGUGAGGGAUGAAAGCUGGGGGAGCA